rnacentral:sRNA from 1 species
UCGAAACCUGCCCAGCAGACGACCCGCGAACACGUAUGUAAACCUUUGGCAAGCAAGCAGUGGCCCAAAAGCCUUGAUUGCUGCCCACUGUUGGGGGUUGCGCCCCGAGCCUCCAGAGGCAACGCGUGCACUCCUCGGCAGAUUAACGAAACCCCGGCGCAAACCGCGCCAAGGAACUUUUAAAAAGAGAGCUCGCCCCUGAUGCCCCGUUCGCGGGUGCUAGGGGGGCAGUGGCGUCUUUCACGAAUCCAAACGACUCUCGGCAACGGAUAUCUCGGCUCUCGAAAUGCGAUACUUGGUGUGAAUUGCAGAAUCCCGUGAACCAUCGAGUUUUUGAACGCAAGUUGCGCCCGAAGCCAUUAGGUUGAGGGCACGUCUGCCUGGGCGUCUCACAUCGCGUCGCUCCCAUCGCCCGGCCCCAGUUAGGUGUCGGUGCUUGGGUACGGAUAUUGGCCCCCCGUGCGCUCGUGUGCGCGGUCGGCCUAAAAAUGAGUCCCUGGCGAUGCAUGUCACGACAAGUGGUGGUUGACAAGCCGUUGCGUCCUGUCUUGCAUGCUUCGUCGCCAAGGGUUUCUCCACUGACCCUUAAGUGCCGUCGAAACGGUGCCUCGACCGCGACCCCAGGUCAGGCGGGACUACCCGCUGAGUUUAA